rnacentral:rRNA from 1 species
UACAGAGGGGGCAAGCGUUGUUCGGAAUUACUGGGCGUAAAGGGCGCGUAGGCGGCCUUCUAAGUCGAACGUGAAAUCCCCGGGCUCAACCCGGGAACUGCGUCCGAUACUGGAAGGCUUGAAUCCGGGAGAGGGAUGCGGAAUUCCAGGUGUAGCGGUGAAAUGCGUAGAUAUCUGGAGGAACACCGGUGGCGAAGGCGACUCACUGGCCCGAUACUGACGCUGAGGCGCGAAAGCGUGGGGAGCAAACAGG